rnacentral:pre_miRNA from 2 species
UCUUAUGGAUGCGCUAAGAAAGUGGUUUCUUGAGAUGGAAUCUGCCACUGGCAAAGAUGCUGUGAA